AAGGAUUUAAGUUAACCAAACUAAAGAUCUUCAAAAUCUUCAAUGGAGUAUCACUCUAAUCUUUG
rnacentral:tRNA from 1 species